AGCAGAACUGACCCAUCCCAAGAUGGGCAGCGGAGGUGAUCUUGCUGAGGUGAUGUCCUGCACAGUGCCUUUGUGUCAGUAGGGUCUGAACACAAAGCCCACGUCUCUAAUUGUGGUGGGAGCGAUGAGAUGGCGGCAUACAGCCCACUGCAGGGCUGGUGUGCCAUCAACCCUGUCCACCUGCUAUGCAUUCCAGGCAAAAGAAGCAGCAGUAGAGGAACCCACUGCUCUGCACAUUAAGGUGGACAACAAAGAGCCAUUACCUCCACCCCCGUAAUCAUUCCUGUUGCUCUUCUCUGGAUUUCACCUCAUUUGUCCUCGUUGGGAGGCAGAGCAGAAGCCAACCAGCCCGGAGCCUGGGCUGGGGCUGAGGUGGGAGAGGAGGGAAGCUACACCGGAGCUCAGUGAAGCAGUGGCAGCCAGGCUGAGACCUGAGACACAGCCUGCACGACAGCCAGACCCUUGGGAGGCCCUUCUGCCUGGAAGCAGAAGCAUCAGCAGUCAGAUGCCGUUUUAUUUGGCCAGGACUUGAAAAUCCCCAGGGAUGGAUCCCCUGUGUCUGAGCUGUCCCAGGGUGCACCACCACCCGGGGAAGAAAUCUUUUCUCCCAUCUGAUCUGAAUAUCCCACCUGGAGCCACCGCCUCUUGUUCUCUCAUCCACCACUGAUGAGACCUUGUGGGUUAAUCACGCUGGCCUGUGCACUGGGGAAAUAACUUCUUGCCUUGAGGUGAAAUAAAGCUUGUCUGGCUG